ensembl:lncRNA
UUUUUUUUUUUUUUUUGCAUUUUAGGGCUGCACCCAUGGCAUAUGGAAGUUCCCAGGCUAGGGUUGAGUCAGAGCUGCAGCUGCCAGCCUACACCACAGCCACAGCAACACAAGAUCUGGGCCGCAUCUGUGAUCUACACCACAGCACAUGGCAGCGCCAGAUCCCCGACUCAAUGCACAAGGCCAAGGAACAAACCUGCAUCCUCAUGGAUACUAGUCGGAUUCGUUUUCGCUGUGCCACGAAGGGAACUCCCUCAGGUGAAAGUCUUAAUGUGGUUGAUUUUUAAAAUUAUGAUUCAACUGAUAAGUCCUAUGUAAGGACAGAAAACAGAAAGGCUACUGACCUUUGAGUAAAUCCAAUAAUAGUCACUUGGCUGAUAAUCUGUAUGGGCUUUGUCUAGUCAGCUGCAGUGGAUUUGUUGUUCUUUUGUUUAUCUACGUUAUAUACGGUAGUUGGUAUCUGUGAAUUUCAAACUCCUAAUUUAUGCUUCCCUCCUGCAGUGGACUUUUGCUCCGUGGGGAAUCUAUUAUUGCCUAGAGGAGACACAGAGAUCCUCUGGAUGAGCCCUCCAAUCUUUGUAUUCUGUUCCACUUCAAUAUUUACAUGUAUAGGUUUGUGAUUUGAAUACAGAUAUGUUAAUGAAAACCUUCUGUCACUACCCACAUUUAUCUUAUACUAAUACUGGAUCUUGCUUUAAGGAGAAUCUGUUCCCCGACAUGUCCGUGCAGAUAAAAUACUUGUGAAACAAAUGCUGCUUUAAUGUGGUAAUAAUGAAGGCUACAGUUUAUUGAGAGCCAGAUGCUGUUCCACGUGCCUUGAGUUUAUUUGCACAUAUGCCCUCAUUACAAUCCACUGUGGCAGGGGUUCUUCUUAGUCCCUCUUUACACAUGGAGAAACUAAGGCAUGCACAGGUGGAGUGAUUUGUCCCAGAUCACCCCGAUGUAAACUGCAGGACUGGGGUUGGAAGGCCAGUGGUGGGAGGCCACCUUCUUCACCAUUUUUUUUUUUUUCCCUUUUUAGAGCCACACCCUCAGCAUAUGGAGGUUCCCAGGCUGGGAGUCAAAUCGGAGCUACAGCUGCCGGCAUAAAUCACAGCCCACAACCCAGGAUCUGAGCCUCGUCUGCCACCUUCACCACAGUUCACGGCAAUUGCUGGAUCCUUAACCCACUGAGAAAGGCCAGGCAUUGAACCUGCAUCCUCAUGGAUACUAGUCGUGUUUGUUAACCACUGAGCCACAACGGGAACUCCAUCGUGGCUUGUAUCACAGAUUGGUACUGUUGAUGCAAAAGAACCUCAGAUGUGUAACUGCAAUCAUUCCUGGUCCAUAAGAAAUUUUCAAAUGGCAUAUUAAGCAAUUGCCAUAGACUAUGUUCUCCCAAAAUUCGUAUGUUAGAGUCUAAUCCCCAAUAUAUAGUAUUUGGAAGUGGGGCCUUUGGGAGGUGAUUAGGUGGUGAGAGUGGAACCCUCAUGAAUAGAUCUGGUGCCAUUAUAAAAAAAGACCCCAGAGAGCUUUCCUGCCCUCUUCUACCAUGCAAAGAGACAGUGAAAAGCUCAGCGCCUAUUAAUCAGGAAGCAGGUCUUCACCAGAUACCAAAUCUGCUAGCACCACAAUCUUGGACCUCCCAGCCUUCAAUAAAUUUCUACUGUUUAUAAGCCACCAACAUAUGGUAUUUCUCUUAAAGUGGCCCAAAUGUACUAAGGCAAACAUUGUCAACAUGGCAUAUGGCAUGGAACUUCCCUAAUGACUUAAUCGAUCCAUCCUUCCACUCAUCCACCACUCACCCUUUUGAUUCUACUUCUGAAAUAAUCUCUUGAAUCACCAACUUGUCUCUUCACCACUACCACCCUUGACCAUCUCUGUCUUGACCACUCCAACUCUCUCCUAGCUGGAUUCUCAUUUCUACUCUAGCCCCCCAGAUAGUUAGGAUGUCAUCGGCAGGAGAAAAAAAAAAAAUAGAGAUCCCAAGUCACACUGGUUUAAAAGAGAUCUCACUUAGAAAGAAGGCCAACAAGAGGGCACAUUUGGGAGCUAGUUCACUCCGGCUCAUCACUGUCACUGGAGACCCAGGUUCUUUCCAUCCUUUAGCUCAUCCAUGCCUAGUUUAUUGGCUUCCCUCUCGGGCUGCCAAUCUCAUGAGUGAGUGAUGACUGCAAAAGCAGAAAGGUAUUGUCUUCCCAGUGCAUUCCUACAAAUGAGGAUGCCUCUCCCAGAAGUCUCCCGUGAUAAGCCUCCCCUCAAAGUUCAAUGGCCGGGUCUGGUUCACAUGCCUGCUAUGGAACCAAUAGACAAAGAGAAUGGACCAUCAUAUUGACUUGGGCCAAUCAGAAUUUAUUCUCCAAGGCAGGAAUAUAUAAUCCCAUUUUCCUGAGUCACCUUGAAUAGACAGACAGCAGACCGUAUUAUAAUUCUGCCUAUAAGGGGUAAGGGAGGAAAAGAUAUUGGACGGGCAACCCAAGGUAUCGGCAAGGCCUUCUACCUCAAAUCUCUUUUCUGUAGAGCAGCUGGACUGGCCUUCCCAAAUUGCAUUUCCAGUUAUGUCCCUCCUCUGCUUAAAGAUUCAGCAUUUUCCCAAAAUGCUUGGAAUGUAAUCCAAAAUGUUAUUUGGGUUUACAAGGCUCUGCCAGUUCUGGACCCUACCAUUCCCAUUGUCUUCAACCCACCCUUCUGGCUUCCUCUCCAUCUAAGGGCUUGUGUGUGUGCCUGCAUGUAUCAGUCAGGAUUCUUCAAAGAAAAAGAACCAAUAGGAUAUGAAAGAUUUAUUUCAAGAAACUGGCUCAUGCCAUUGUAGAGACUGGCAAGUUCAAAAUUUGUAGGGCAGGCCAACAGGUUGGAAAGUCAGGGAGGACUUGAUGCUGUAGUCUCGAAUUGCAUCUCUGAGAAAUGCAGUUUUUGCUCUUAUGGCCUUUAAACCCACUGAAUGAGACCCACCCACUUUAUCUCCUUUACAUAAAGUUAACUGAUUAUGGAUUUUUUUUUUUUAUGCCCACACCCUCGGCAUAUGGAAGUUCCUAGGCUAGGGGUCAAAUCAGAGCUGUAGCUGCCAGCCUAUACCACAGCGACAGCCAUGUCAAAUCCGAGCCGCAUCUGUGACCUACACCACAGCUCAUGGCAACACCAGAUCCUUAACCCACUGAGCGAGGCCAGGAAUCAAAUCUGCAUCCUCGUGGAUACCAGUCAGAUUCGUUUCCACUGAGCCACGGAUGGGAACUCCGGUUUACAGAUGUUAACCACAUCUCCAAAAUACCUUCUCAACAAUACCUAGAUCAGUGUUUGAUGAAGUAACUGGGCAGCAUACCAAACUGACACACAAAACUAACCAUCACAAGGACCAUUCUUUUCUUUCCAUCUCUAGUUAGAACAUGCCUAAUCUUCAUCUAGACCUCAGUGUUCCCGGGAAAGCUUCUGCGAGGGCCUCCUUCCCCAACUGGAAUAAGGGCCCCUCCUCAAUGGCUCCAAGUGAAUUAUCUCUAACAGAGAACUAACAUCAUACGACUUUGUAAUAACUUGUUUGCCAAUGAGAAUAUAAGCCCAAAGAGCAAAACCUGUGCUGGGAUCAUUGUUAUGUCCCAUCGGCCAACACAGAACUUCCACACAGCAGGCACUCAAAAAAUAGAUGCAGAAUGUUGCCUUUGGGAUGGAUCAGCAAUGGGAUCCUGCUGUGUAGCACUGGGAACUCUGUCUAGUCACUUCUGAUGGAACACGUAAUGUGCGAAAAAAGAAUGUAUACAUGUAUGUGUAACUGGGUCACCCUGCUGUACAGCAGAAAAAUAUACAUCUAUAAGUAAAUGAUUAAAAAAAAAAAGUUACCAAGUGAGGAGUUACCUGGUGGCUCAGUGGGUUAAGGACCUGAUGUUGUCACUGCUUUGACUCAGGGCACUGCUGUGGUGCGGGUCUAAGCUCUGGCUGGGGAUCCGCAUGCUGUGGGUGUGGCCACAAAAAUGACCAAGAGAAUGCAUCUGGUCCAACUCCAUUUUAUGGUUGAAAUACUAGGUUUAGAGGUGCUAAAUCCCUUCCUUAUGAUGACCCACAAAUCAGAAGCAGAGCUGGAUUAGAACUCGUACCUAUACCUUCUGGUUCCUCUCAGUUUCGUGACUCCUCUUUGGACAGGAAGAUUAAGAUCUACCAAAUGUGAAGAGGUUUGGGGGCGGGUAUUCAUCUAUUUUGUAUUAAAAAAGAGAAGCACCAUUCAGGAGCUCCCGUCAUGGCUCAGUGGUUAACAAACCUGACCAGUAUCCAUGAGGAUGGGGGUUCGGCCCCUGGCCUCGAUCAGUGGGUUAAAGAUCUGGCAUUGCAGUGAGCCGUGGGGUAGGUUGCAGACACGGCUCAGAUCCCACAGCUGCAGCUCUGAUUCGACCCCUAACCUGGGAACCUCCAUACGCUGUGGGUGUAGCCCUAAAAGACAAAAAAAAAAAAAAAAAAAAAA